rnacentral:miRNA from 1 species
GCCUUCUCACUCUCCACGGCGGUAGG